ACUGAUAUGACUGUCAAUACUAGAAAUUUGUGCAAAAAUCUCAUUCAAAUAUGCAUGCUUAGAUUUUUUGUUGACACGUGUGGCGGUAAAAGCAUGCAAAUUUGUAAAUACGUGUUUUGCAGAUUCGCCGUACCGGUAUUGCCAGUGUGAAUUUUAACCACAUAAACAUGAAUAUGUGCAUGCACAAUUAAAUUAGUUGUGAGGAACUAAUGCUAAAUUUUUACAAAC
rnacentral:lncRNA from 1 species